AUACGGAGGGUGCAAACGUUGUUCGGAAUCACUGGGCGUAAAGGGCGCGCAGGCGGUUUGAUUAGUCAGAUGUGAAAGCCCACGGCUUAACCGUGGAAGUGCAUUUGAAACUGUCAGACUUGAGUACCAGAGGGGGUAGUGGAAUUCCCGGUGUAGAGGUGAAAUUCGUAGAUAUCGGGAGGAAUACCGGUGGCGAAGGCGACUACCUGGCUGGAUACUGACGCUGAGGCGCGAAAGCGUGGGGAGCAAACAGGAUUAGAAACCCCGGUAGUCC
rnacentral:rRNA from 1 species